CCUACGGGUGGCAGCAGUGAGGAAUAUUGGGCAAUGGCCGUAAGGCUGAACCAGCCAAGUCGCGUGAAGGAAGAAGGAGCUAUGGGUGGUAAACUGCUGUUAUAGGGGAAUAAAGGGAGCCACGUGUGGAGAUUUGCAUGUACCCUAUGAAUAAGCAUCGGCUAACUCCGUGCCAGCAGCCGCGGUAAUACGGAGGAUGCGAGCGUGAUCCGGAUUUGUUGGGUUUAAAGGGUGCGUAGGGUGUUUUUUAAGUCAGCGGUGAAAGUUUGUGGCUCCACCAUAAAAUUGCCGUUGAAACUGGCAGACUUGAGUGUGUUUGAGGUAGGCGGAAUGCGUGGUGUAGCGGUGAAAUGCAUAGAUAUCACGCAGAACUCCGAUUGCGAAGGCAGCUUACUAGGCCAUAACUGACACUGAGGCACGAAAGCGUGGGGAUCAAACAGGAUUAGAUACCCGAGUAGUC
rnacentral:rRNA from 1 species